rnacentral:rRNA from 1 species
GAAUUCACUAGUGAUUCAGGCGUAACACAUGCAAGUCGACCGGCAGCACGGAGAAGUUUACUUCUUUGGUGGCGAGUGGCGGACGGGUGAGUAAUGCAUAGGAAUCUACCUUUUAGUCUAGGAUAACUACCCGAAAGGGAGGCUAAUACUGGAUGUGGACUACGGUUUAAAGCAGGGGACCUUCGGGCCUUGCGCUAAGAGAUGAGCCUAUGUGGGAUUAGCUAGUUGGUGAGGUAAUGGCUCACCAAGGCGACGAUCUCUAGCUGGUUUGAGAGGAUGAUCAGCCACACUGGGACUGAGACACGGCCCAGACUCCUACGGGAGGCAGCAGUGGGGAAUAUUGGACAAUGGGUGAAAGCCUGAUCCAUCAAAAGGGGGUGUGUGAAGAAGGCCUUCGGGUUGUAAACCUUAAAGAGUGGGAGAACGGGACUUUUAGUUAAUACCUAGAGGUUUG